UGCAGAUGGUAAGAAAUAGUUAAAUUUUCCUAAUAAACUGAAGAUAUAAUUAAAAAGAUUUGCAAAUGUAUUUGAAUAUUAAAGAAGGACCAUAACCAAGUUUUGACUUUAAGGUUCUUUUGGCAUUAUCCAGAAGAGGAAUUUUGGAUUUUCCACUUACCGAGAGGAGAAAGUCCAUGAAUGCCGGUUACUUCAUAGAGAAAUCGUAAACUUAAGUUUCAAAUACCGAAAUGUGCGCAAGAAACUUCUUCCUAUAUUUCAGUGAGCACUGCGGAGGUCCAAGCUGGAGUUAUGGUAACUGGAAGCUUCAGCACAGAGGAAUUUACCAUUAUCAAAAGAGACAUGCGGUCAGGCAAAGAAGAGAUCUGAGUCCUGAGCCCAGAAGAACUGCAUGUAGAAGAAGAGAUUUGUGAACAGAAACAACACAGCAAAUUCACCUGAGAAUGAAUGGCCCAAGAUAUGGAAGGGCGUCAAGAAGACUUUUGGAACCUGGAGCUAAGUUAAGGUCUUUCAAGGAAGAGGGAGUGACUGGGUCAAAACUUCCUCUUCGGACAAGCAUGAGUAGGACAGACAAGUAAUAGAUUUGGUGGUUGAUGGAGAAUGAGUGAUGAGAGUGAGCACAAGAGAACGGAACGAGAAGAGAUGUAAUCAUCAAGAGUUUGCGACAACUGUUCCAAGAACAAUUCUGUAAAAUAAACAGAAAUGAAAAAUGGAAUCCUCUGCAAAAGCAGCCCAAGGUAAAGCCCACUUCAUCACAAGAUCUUGGGUUAUAAGCAAAACUGGAGGAGGAAGUGACCUUAAAUAUGUACUACUUUUCAGUCAUCUCAAGUUAAAGAGAAAGAAAAUCCAAAAAGUGAAUCAUCUAUCAACUCUGGAUGCCAAUAGAGCUAAAAGGACUUUUAAGUGUCCCAUUUUUAUUUUUAGAGAGUCUCACAGAGGUUUCCAAUCUGAGCUUGAACUUGCUAUCUUCCUUGCCACCCAAGUAGCAAUGAAUCCUGGUACGAGAACACAGAUACAACUUUUAAAGCUGCCCAUUAUAUUUACUAUUAACUCUCAACUGGUUUAUUCAUUAAGGAAAUAUUUAUCCCACAUUAGUUAUUUGACAAGUUUUUUUAU